rnacentral:rRNA from 1 species
AUACGUAGGGGGCGAGCGUUGUCCGGAAUGAUUGGGCGUAAAGGGCGCGUAGGCGGCCCGGUAAGUCUGGAGUGAAAGUCCUGUUUUUAAGAUGGGAAUUGCUUUGGAUACUGUCGGGCUUGAGUGCCGGAGAGGUAAGUGGAAUUCCCAGUGUAGCGGUGAAAUGCGUCGAGAUUGGGAGGAACACCAGUGGCGAAGGCGACUUACUGGACUGUAACUGGCGCUGAGGCGCGAAAGUGUGGGGAGCAAACAGGAUUAGAUACCCUGGUAGUCCACACUGUAAACGAUGAAUGCUAGGUGUAGGGGGUAUCGACCCCUUCUGUGCCGCAGUCAACACAAUAAGCAUUCCGCCUGGGGAGUACGGCCGCAAGGUUGAAACUCAAAGGAAUCGACGGGG